UUGCCAGCGAUCGACGCCCAAGCUUCCUUACUGGAGACGACACCCGUGACGCUAGUCUUCCCCCAAGGUCCCCGGUCCCAACCCAACUCCAGAAACCCACCACCGCCGCCGCCGCCCACCGCCACCAGCACCGCACCGCACUGCACCAACCACCGCCCUUCUCCCCCAGAUCUACCUAGCCAGCCCGUCCCCGCCUACUUAUUGCCUCUCAACUCCCGCCAACACCUCAGCCAGGCCCUCUCCCCCUCACCCGCUGCGCAUGACCCGAUCCAGAUCGAGCCGCAGCUCCGGUGCCCUCCUCGCCGGCGGCCAGGUUUCCGCUGUCGCCCGGGCCGCGGCCCGCUGCCCGUCCUCCCUCUUCGCCGCCGGCCUCUUCCACCCCAGCACCUCCGCGGUUCCUCCCCGACGAACCAGCCUCGAUGGAUGGCAGCGCCGCGGUGGAGCUCGCCGGCGCCUAGGACUGCAGCCCCUGCCUACACGAGCUGCAGCUCGUAGCUGCUGCCGGCGACCACGUUCCCGAGCUCCUGCUGCCGGCCUCAACUCCGUGUUGUUGAUGCCAACCAUCUCCAGCUCAAGCUGCUGCCGACGGAGAAGGGGAUGUCUCGGACAGAUUGGUGGGCAACUUCUCAGAGCUGCACGCUCUCCGGUCAAGGAGCACCUUAUUCUGCUCUGUCAACCGCUGUCAUCGUGAAGGUCAUGUUCCUGUUUUGAUGCCUCUUUUGUGCACCUAGGAUUAUGUUCUUGUGUACAUUUGUAGCUGAAACUUUUAUCAGGCACAACAACUUAAUUUGGUCUCGUUUCACGUGGCAGGGCAGAUGGCGGCUGCGCCCAAGCAUGUGAUGUUGGAGCUGGCGUCAUUGUAGGCAUAACUGUGAUUCGCUGAGCUGCUGCUGCUGGUGUCCACUACGACCUGCUGCCCUUGCCUUAUUCGACUGCACCGUGUCAUCCUGAAGUUUUUGUCGUAGCUGUGGUGAUGCUCGGAAUCGGCUGCUUGUCAACCACUAAUAUGGUUACUAAGUACAAGAUGGCAUAGCAACGCAGUACAGAGGAUGGAAGCAGAGGAUUUUGGUUUGACUACAGUUGGAAAUACCGAAUUAGACACUGACCAGAGAUGUUCACGGGCUAAGGAUCACUAUGGCACAUUUCAGUGUAAAUAUUGCAUGCUGUGCAGCAUACACAUCACGGACUGGAUACGUGUAACGUGGAUACGACGAAUUCUUGUGUAGUAUCUUGGAAGACUUGUCUCA